GCCAGGCACCGUGGCGCAUGCCUGUAAUCCUGGCAGCUUGGGAGGCUGAGGCAGGAGGAUCAAAAGUUCAAGGCCAGCCUCAGCAACUUAGCGAGACCCUGUCUCUA
rnacentral:sRNA from 1 species